UNCAAGGCUGCUUGCUUGCUUGGUUGGU
rnacentral:piRNA from 1 species